CUAAUUCUGAAUUCAAUUCAAGCACUGAUGUCGGGUUUUCCCCUCAGUGCUUUAUUGAAACUGCUUCAGUUCACAGCCUUUGUUCGGUUAAACAAUUCCUACAGAUAGCAUUGUCUUGCUGGAUGAUCGUACAUUUGCGAGGGGACACUUUUUAAAAAGUGCAAUUAUUUUUUUAAAUGGAAUUGGAAAUUGUGCGUGGCAAAAAAAAAAAAAAAAAAAAAAAGGCACAGGGGGAAGGAGCUCUGAAGAAAUCAAUUUGAAGAAAAACUCCCUGAUAGACCCUUUCUGUAUUUGCUAUCUUUCUCUGGGAGUUUUUGCUUGGAAACCUCUGGCAAACAGCUAUCUUUGGGUGAGCUAAAAGAUAUCCCUCCACCAUCGGAUGGCGUCCGACACCAUGAGUUGCCGCAUCAGCCAAGCGUAGCAUUGACGGACUCCAUGUUCUCUCAGCACUCGCUCAUUACUGGGGUCCCAUGUGCCCAUGGCUCCAACGAUCAGCACAGUGUCAAACUAUCAAGAGCCUCUUCCCAUUGCCCUCCCCACCCAUAAACUUGCUUCAGGAUCAGUGAAAUAGGAAUCAAAUCAGGACGGCUGCUGAUGUCGGGAGGGCUUAAAGAACUGGAAGGCUUCAACCUGGAAAUGCUGCUUGUGACAUUCCCAUUCCCCGGAGAUUUUGUCUGCUUCUAUUUCAUCACGAUCACAGAUGUAAUAUCUGUCAGAGGCAGAGUAAUGAACUCGUGCUGACAUCCCAAUCUUGUGGACACAUCUGCCCUUCUGAAGCUCUCUCUUCUGCAGAAUUAAGUCCCUGGAUGGAUUUGUCUUGUAUUUAUUAAUGCCCAGCUAGGACUGAGAAUUUUGGCCUCUCGAUUAUGUUGAUAAGAUGAAAUCUCUGGAAUCAGAAUGAUGGAUGAGGCUAAAAUAAAGGUUGUACAGCCACAUCUGAAUCACCCCAGUUCAGCAGCGCAGCGACCCAUCUAAUCUGAUAUCUGAUCUCUGUCACCUGUGACUUCUAAUGGCUGCUUCAGAGUCAAGUGCAAAACUCCCAGGGUUUCCAGGGUUAGCUGCUUUCUUGAAUGUCAUGUGGAAAUGCUUGAACAUCGACUCCAAAUCUUUGGCUGGAUUAAUUAGCCUCUGAUUUGCAACAUGUGGCCAACACCAAUUUUAUAUUUCACCUGCUUGCUAGUUUCAAAUCUAGGUUUGAUUUGAAGGUGAAACCGAUUGGAGUUUCUCAACUGAGCUGCAGAGAGUUCCAUCCCCACCACAAAAUAUAUAUAAUCACGCCUGCCGUUAAAUUUCCAAUUUCCAUCGCAGAGCAGGAAGAGAUUGGUGCUCACUUUCUGAAACCCAAAUCCUCCAAGGUAUCAUCUUCAUAAUUGUAAUGGGGGAGCGGGAAUGGAGAUUUUACUUUGAAAACUUCUGCAUUCCUUUAUGUUGUGAAACAAAUCCGUGCACAUAUGGGAAAAGCUUAGCGCUUUGCUGAAGAAUAGGCCAGAGUUCAAUCUUUUCAGGACUUUUCCAAAAGUAUGACACAGGAAUGCUCGGACUUGUACCAAACAUAACGUUAGUCACACACCCUUGGGAUAGAAACAUGCAGAGAAAACAAUGAAACAAGACUGUUUAUAAAGCCGUCAACACAUUAGCCAGUGGAGAGGAGCCCAAAUUUCCAUGUAAAGUCCUGAAUGGACGCGAGAGACGUGAAACACAUGGAAAAUGUGGAGUAAGGAAUAAAAUUAUAAAUAAAAUAAAUUGGGAAUGCCAUUUUAGUCAUCAUGAU